rnacentral:RNase_P_RNA from 1 species
AGAAGUCGGGGAGACAGUCGCGUGUCUCCCGAACAUCAGAUCGGGAGGUUCGAGGAAAGUCCGAGCUCCGCAGGGCAGGGUGCUGGUUAACGGCCAGGGGGAGUGAUCCCACGGAAAGUGCCACAGAAAAUAUACCGCCUCGCCUCCGGAUCAUCCGGAAUCGGGGUAAGGGUGAAAUGGUGAGGUAAGAGCUCACCGCGCCUCUGGUGACAGGGGUGGCAGGGUAAACCCCACCUGGAGCAAGACCAAAUAGGGGAGGAUGAGGCGGCCCGCCUCGCCAGGACUCCCGGGUAGGUCGCUAGAGGCCGUCGGUAACGGCGGUCCGAGAUACAUGACUGUCGCCGUCCCCGGUUUCCUUCGGGAGCCUCCGACGGUAACAGGACUCGGCUUACGACCGGCUUCUCACG